UCCCAGAGGCUGAAAACUCAGAAGAACUGGAGGAGAACAAGCACAGGGCUGACUGCUGCUCAGGGGGCUAGCCACUUUCAUUCGAGCCCGGUUUUGUGGGGACACUGGUACUUAGUCUUUACUAAUGACCGAGGUCCACAGAGUUUUGCAUCUCGAUAAGCCAGAUCAGAAUGAGGAACCAGCAGAAUUCCUAACACCGGUCCCAUUCUUUCUUGUUGGGGCGGCACUACCCUCUCUCCUCCUUUGCCUAAAACCUGACUCGGAGGAUCUCCCGUAGCUGAUGAACAAGGGAGCGAGCUCGGAGAAAGGGUCUUGUGGCAGGGCCCAAGUUUUCUGAGGCAUGCGUGUCCUUCCACAUAGUCCUGCCUCUCAGGCACAGAAGGCUCUACCACCCC